rnacentral:rRNA from 1 species
AUUGAACGCUGGCGGCAGGCCUAACACAUGCAAGUCGAACGGUAGCACAGAGAGCUUGCUCUCGGGUGACGAGUGGCGGACGGGUGAGUAAUGUCUGGGAGACUGCCCGAUGGAGGGGGAUAACUACUGGAAACGGUAGCUAAUACCGCAUAACGUCGCAAGACCAAAGUGGGGGACCUUCGGGCCUCACACCAUCGGAUGUGCCCAGAUGGGAUUAGCUAGUAGGUGGGGUAAUGGCUCACCUAGGCGACGAUCCCUAGCUGGUCUGAGAGGAUGAGCAGCCACACUGGAACUGAGACACGGUCCAGACUCCUACGGGAGGCAGCAGUGGGGAAUAUUGCACAAUGGGCGCAAGCCUGAUGCAGCCAUGCCGCGUGUAUGAAGAAGGCCUUCGGGUUGUAAAGUACUUUCAGCGGGGAGGAAGGCGGUGAAGUUAAUAGCUUCACCGAUUGACGUUACCCGCAGAAGAAGCACCGGCUAACUCCGUGCCAGCAGCCGCGGUAA